CUUUACUGAACAUGUACGUGCCUAGGAAGUCUCAGGAAUGGGUAAGUGCUCCUGCUCCCACACAGUCUACAGACCUGGGUGCAAUGGUGAGAAAGACCUCAGUAAAGCAAAGGAAUUACGAAAGGGAGAGGGGAGGCAGCAGCUGAGGCUGUGGUGGGAGAAGAAUGACAAGAACUGAGCGUGGGCCACGGGCUCUUACCUUCAGCAACUUCAUCAGCUCUUCCAGCUGGACCAUCAGCUCCCGCCUGCUCUCCUGCAGGGCCGACAUCCUCUGCUCCAGUUCAUCCUUCCUUUGCCUAUCCAAGACGAGAAGCCUAUCAGAUAAAGAGACCCUCAAAGAUGGAUCUAAGGCCAGGUGAAAUGGAUUUCAGACCUGAUCCUGCUACUUACCAGUUAUGAGACGCUGAGCAAGUCAUUUAGCAUCCAAUACCUCAUAAAAUGGUGAUAAUGUCUGUUUUGCCUACUUCCUGGACUGUUCUGAGAAUAAUAGGUAAAAGUGCUUUGGAAAGUUUAGAUGACUAUAUAAAGGUAUUACUUAUAUUACCAGAGUGAAUUAAUGAUUAAAAAACUCUUUAGAAAAUCAAUGCCUUUUGAAAAAUAUAUAAAAUUAGCCCAAAUUUAGAUUAAUAGUAAAGAAACCAUAUUAAACUGCUCAGAGAAAACAGGGUCCAGUAGUAAGUACUUUCAGCACUAGACAGAUUCAAGAAGGAUGACAGAUCAGGACGGCUCCCUGUGUUCAAGAACAGUCACUUUUCCUUGAGGAUAGAUUUUAUGCCAUCUACUCCAGCUCAAUAUGUCCAAAACCAGACUUAAGACUUUAUUCCCUAAAUGGUUUUCUUGUCUCUGUCUCUUUUUUUUUCCUUGUCUCUGUCUCUUUUCCCUGUCUCUGCUAUUUUUCCUUCCAGGUGUCAUGGUUGAAAAACUCAGUCCUCUUUGUUACUUUCUUCUUUAUAUCCUGUAUUCAAUCAAUAACUCAAUUCAGAUCAUUCUUUCUUGGAAAAUGUAUGUGCCUAUCUUUCUAUUCCCAUUUCUCUCACUUUAUCUAAGCACUCCUUACCUCAAGCAUGAAACAGUCUCCUUAUGUGAUUAAUCCUGCUUUCUUUUUUUUUUUUUUUGUGACGGAGUCUCACUCUGUCGCCCAGGCUGGAGUGCAGUGGUGCCAUCUUGUCUCAACUGCAACCUCCGCUUCCCCAGUUCAAGUGAUUCUCCUGCCUCAGCCUCCUAAAUAGCUGGGAUUACAGGCAUCGCCACCAUGCCCAGUUAAUUUUUGUAUUUUUAGUAGAGAUGGAGUUUCACCAUGUUGGCCAGGCUGGUCUCGAACUCCUGACCUCAAGUGAUCCACCUGCCUCAGCCUCCCAAAGUGCUGGGAUUACAGUCGUGAGCCACCGCACCUGGCUCUUUCAUCUUUUAUGGUGAGGAAAAAGCAGUGAAAUAGAAGUCAAUGGCCUCAAAGUUGAGUAUCAGCACCAGUAUUUACCAAAUAUGCAACCUUAGACAAGUCACUUAGCCUCAGUUUUCUCUCUUCUAAAAGGGGACUAGUAACAGCAACAAUAUUCUGAGGAUCAUAUAAGGUAAUAAAUAUGAGAGUGUUCUACGAACUUUAAACUGCCGCUCAAAACAAAGCUAUGUUCAUUUCAUCAUCCCAUAAUGAUCUCAACAGACUUUCUAGCAUCACUGACCCUUGCCUGUGCAAUCGAGACCUACGCUGUCUAUCACAGCAGCCGCUAGCCACGCGUGACUACCGAGCCCCUGAAACAGGGCUAGGCUGAACUGAGAUGCACGGCAAUUGUAACAUACACACUGGAAUUCAAAGACUUAGUGCAGGAAACAGCAAAGUAUCUGGAUCAUGUUUUAAUACUGAUUACAUGUUGAAAGGACAAUAUUUUGAAAAUAUCAGGUUAAGUAAGAUAUACUAUUAAAAUUAAUGACGCCUAUUACUUUUUGGUUUUUCAAUGAGGCUGUUAGAAAUGUUUUGAUUAUGUGCGUGGCCUGCAUUUCUAUCGGCGAGUGCGGCUCUAGAUCCCAUCUACAUUCCUGUCCUUAGUACCACACCUCCUAUCUUAUGCCCUUUGUGUCUGGACCUCCAGCUUACGGUUCAUUUUUCCUAAGUGGGCUCCAUCAUUUUAUAACUCACCUCUCUUCCAAAUCUUAUUCAUUCCGUAAUGUCUGACCCAACAUCACUGUCGGGAAGCUGCUCCUGAUCACUUCAGCAGGGACUGCUUGAUUAAGCACUACAGUAAUUAGUGCUCCUCAGUGGUACUUAAUUUACUUUACUGCUGCCAUUCCUACCAUGAUGCAAAAUCCUUGAGGUCAGGGGAUGGGCCUUACUCAUCCUUGCAUGUAUUGAAGGAUUAAGAAAAUAUCAUGCAUCCAGUAUCACCUAAUUAACAUCUACUGAACUUACCAAAAUCAUGAUUUGAAACUCUCCAAGGGUUUCCAAUGACCUAACAAUUAAGACUUUCUAGAAUCUGAUCUCAAUUGCCUGGCUAAUUAUAUCUCCUAUCACUGGCACUCUGAAGAUUGAUGUAAUGAAUGAUUGAAAAGAAAUUCUUAGUUCCAAGACUCUUUCCCUUUUCUGAAAUGUGCCAUAAUUAUUUGGGGGGAAUCAUGCUGAACCCCAAGUGCACUUCCAAUCUGAAAUGUUUUGUCCUACACUCCAUCCAAAUCAUUAUCUACUUUUCAUGGUCUAGCUCAACUUCUACCACCUCCAUGGUUCCAAAUGCUUCCAGAGGAAAAUUAGACACACAAAGGUGGUAGGGAAUAAAUAUAGAUAUAAUACCUAUAUUAUAUAGGUAUUAUAUAUGUAAAAUCUUGUGUGUAUACAUACAUUAUAUUAUAUAUAUUUCCCUACACAGAUUUCUUAUCCAUACUGUUUAUUGACAUUGCACAAUAUUUUUUAACUAUCAAAUUAUUUUAUGUUUUGUUCCAAAACCAGAUUAUAAGUUUUUAGGAAGGACUCAUUGUCUUCUAGUCUUCAUACUCUCUACAUUUCCAGUGCAGUAGACCCUCGAUAAGAAGGAUCUACUCAUUCAAUGUUCUAGGAAGACUUCUUCCUCUGAACUCCUGAGCCUGGGUGUGAUAUUCUUUAUCUGUACUGUGUGUGACCAAACAAUUACGGUAUAAGCUGAACAUGAAUGAGCUACAGCUACAUCCAACCACAGAGAACGAUCCUAAAGGCUAAUAUGGUGGGGGUAGGGGGUGGAGAGGGAAGUCCUCUGGGACUAUCCCCACCAUAUUAGUAUAAUAUUUCUAUUAAGCUUAGAAAACAAAAAGCAAAACUAAACAGCUUAUUACAUAGGAUAGUGAUAAUGCGACAAUAUUGUUUUAAACACAAGGUAAUGAUAAACCAAAUUCUGGAUAGGCGUUCACCCAGUGGGGAAGGUGGAGGCAAGGAAAUGGGGUAAGGGAGAGGUACUUCUAUGGAUGGCAUUGUUUUAGUCAUAUUAUGAGUUCUCAAAUAGGAUGUGGGUUUAUAAGUAUUCAUUUGACUAUUACGCUUCAUAUACGUUUGUCGCACACACAUUCGUCAUACAUUUUAUUGUAAGCAACGUACCAUUAAAAAUAAUAAUAAAGGAAGAAAAGGCAUCCCUGGUGGUCAAGGCUCAUAGCCACUCACCCUAUGGGUGAAGUUGUCUACCUUGUUUUAUUAUACUAGCUGGGUGCUGGCAGUCCCUGGCCUCAUAUAUACUGAUCAAAACCAGACAGAUGUCAGAUACCUACAAGUGAAUCCAGCCCUUUAUGUGUCUUUUGAUAAGCAAAAGUUCUUAAUAUUAAUAUAAAUGGAUUUACCAACUUCUUCUUUCAUGGUAAUUCUGAGAUACUACUUUCUAUUCCAAAAUCCUGAGGACAUUCUCCUACUUUCUUCUAGAAUUUUUUUUUUUUUGAGAUGGAGUUUUGCUCUUGUUGCCCAGGCUGGAGUGCAAUGGCAUGAUCUUGGCUCACCGCAACCUCCGCCUCCCAGGUUCAAGCAAUUCUCCUGCCUCAGCCUCCCGAGUCUUCUAGAAGUUUUAAAGUUCUGUAUUCAUGUUGAAUCCAUCUGGUGUCGGUUUUUGUAAUUAGUGUGAAGUAGAAGACCAGUAUGUUUUGUACAUAGGCAUAGAAAACUGUCCCAGCACACUUUAAAAUAGUCCCUCCUUUCUUCAGUGAUAUAGGAACUGCUUUUGAGGUUAAAUACUUUCUGAUUACUCCAACUUCAGACCCUCAUUGGUCUCAGAUUUACAUUUCUGCUUCUUGCUAUCCUAUGUGACAUUCCUGGACUCAGCCCUGCUACUACAUCUAAGAUAUUUUUCAGAUCCUUCCGGCUUAACUGAGCACUUUCAGCAAUCCAGUUUCAGCAACAGUUAGACUCAGGAUGACAGGCCUUUUUGCUUUUCUAGAUAUAAAACCAGGCACUAGACAACAGGUGCAUCUUACGCCAACAGCCUAGACUUACACUCUGCCCAAGUCAGCAGCAUUUGUGUUCCCAUCCUCCCUAGUACGACACCAGCUGUACUAACACCACAGACUUGCAGCAGUAAACCACAGAGCCACCCAAAUCUCAGCCUAACUACAUUGAGAAACUAAAAUAAGUUUUUAAGAGAACGAAAAUCUCUAUACAUCUAAUGAUUUUUUUUCACCUGCACAGUUUAAAUUCUUUAUGACUCUACUAUGACAACUUUUAUUGAUGAUAUAAAUCUAAACAGUAGAACAUCUACAGAAAACAAUAAUCUCCAUUCUCUGGGAAAAGAAACAAGAGGCUACACAGAAUCCUAGAUGAUAGCAAAUUAAAAAUCAACCUAAACAGAAAGAAUCCACUAUUUGAAAAUCUAGAAAUCUGGUGAGAAGUCACUAAAUGUAGUUUCCAUAAUGUCUUAACUUACAGAAGAGUGCGUACACACACACACACACACACACACACACACACACACACCCCUUUCUAAGGCUCAUAGGCAAUAAGACCCUAACAAUGGAUCAGAUCACUUCUGUGAAGACUUCCCCAUUCCCUCCAAAACACCAUCAAACAUGGUGGUGACGCUGCUCUCUAUUCCCAUUCUCAUCCUAUGUCCUUAGUUUCCUGAUUCUUGAGACACUUUGUUUAGAAGCCAUGGUGCAAGGGUUUCAUGUCUCAGAGAUGCGCACAGGAAGCAUCCUUCUCCUUCGGCAGAGCCCUGCAUUGACUGUAAAGUGCCAGGAGAAUAUACUCACAGCAAAGGCAAAGCAUUCUUCCCGCCAAGUGUCUCUAAAGUCAGACAAAUUAGCAAGUUAAGAGACAGACUGCAGCACAGUGGUCUUCUUAAAGCAAUCACAGAAGUAUAAACAGUGCCCUGCUGGUCCUGGAGCUGGGAGACUGGUAUUUACCAAGUUCUGUGAUAAUGGCUGACAUUCUUAGAGUGAUCUCUAAUGGAACCCAGACAUCUGAAGCAGCAACAGAAUGGGUGAACUCUUCAGUGGUCUGCGCUCACAGGAUUGUUUAUACUGAACAACAGAUUCUACCCCACUCCUUUGGUUUCCUCAGAUAAGUUCCAUCCAUAGUAGAUUACAUGUGGCAAGUGGUAGAGUGUCCCUACUCACCUCAGCAGCCGCAGCUCUGCCAGCAGCGUGGGGUUCUGCUGUGCCUUCUCAGGGGUGGGCUGGGAGGCCUGCUCGUGUUCCAGGCGGAGACGCUGAAUCUCCUGCAGGAUCUCUCUAGAGAGGAUGGGUGAACGGAAAGGGGCUGCACAGUGCUUCUCACUCACGCUCCCUCUUUCCCUAUUACAACUUUUCAACUCUAGCAGUGCCUCCUCUACCAAUCUUGUUUUGAUUGCUUCCAAAUGGCCAAGAGGUGAAAUGGACACCUUCUCAAUACUGCUUCACCUGACAUUUCCUCAACAAAGCAAUCCUUUGUGGUGGAAAAAGUCAUAAAAAUACUCUUCUCAAGGACCUGAAAAAUCUCCAAGAAAGGAAAAUUACAGCCAGAAUACUUUAUUUACUCCGUUCCACUCAGGCAGGAGGAAAAGGGAACUCCUUGCAACCUCCUAAUGCAGGUCCUGUGCUGACUUCCCUUAAUCCUUCCCUGCCCCUUCCUUCCCUCUGUCCCCGAUGCCCCAGUAGACAGCUAUGUUGCUUCUAUCUAUGCCUGUUACCUUAGGUCGGGUCUCCACAUCCUGGCUUCUACCUUUCAGUACAUAAUGGUGUGCUGUCUGCUCUCUGUGCCGUUAAAUGGCAUUAAUUUUUUUUUUUUUUUAAGGAGAGACCAGACAGUCCUACAUAGCAUAAUGGGUCAGGACAAGAUGACUAGAUACAGCAAAAUGUUGCUGGGAAGCAGAGUGGAAAACGCAAUUGUGAGAGGGGGUCACACGGAUGGGUGGGAGGAGGCCCUGCUAAAAGGAAUCCCCCGAGGGCAGGUGAGCAGAGCUGUGGACUACCAGAAUCAACAGCAUGCAGACAGACACAAAUCAGCGUCCAGGGCAUUCCCUGGACUUGGGCUAGCCUAGGUUCACUGAGGCAAGGUCUUCCUUGGCGGUCAAAAGCCACCUAGUAUCCAAGGAAAAUGAGAAUCAGAUACGCACGUGAUAAUCCUGGACUCUGGAAGUGGGCUCAGCCUCUGCGUUCUUACCUGUUUUUGUUUUCCAGUUCUGCAAUAAGCUGUCUUUGUUGUUUGUUGGCAUCAAAGUUAAAGCUCAAGUCAGUGGGAGGACGAGUCUAAAGUGGGGAAGUCGGGAGAAAGUUUUUUUUUUUCUGAUCCAAAUAUACCCAGAGUUCUAGAUUGACUGAUUUUUAAAAAAGAUUUUUGACAUAUAAUUUACAUAUCAUAAAUCCACCCGUUUUAAGUAUACAAUUCAAUGAGUCUUAGUAAAUUUAAACAGUUGUGCAACCAAUCACCACAGUCCAGUUUUAGAACAUUUUCCAUCACCGCAAAAAAUUCCCUCAUGCCAGUUUGUCACCAGUCGCCACUCCCACCCCCAACCUCAGGCAGCCAUGCGUCUGCUUUCUGUCUAUAGUUCUGCCUUUUCUAGAAACUUCAUAUAAACACAUAGUCUUUGGUUUCUGGCUUCCACUUGGCAUAAUGUUUUUGGGGUUAAUUCAUGUUUUUCCAUGAACUAGUCUUUUUUUUUUUUUUUUUUUUUUGAGAUAAGGUCUUGCUCUAUCACACAGGCUGGUAUGCAGGAUGCAGUGGCAUGAUCACAGCUCACUGCACUCUUGAACUCCUGGGCUCUCACCUUGGCCUCUGAGUAGAUGGGACUAAAGGCACAUGCCACCGUGCCUGGCCUAGUAGUCCCUUCUUUUUUAUUGCUGUAUAGUAUUCUAUUGUUUCCAGCUUUUGGUUAUUAUCUAUUGUUUCCAGCUUUUGGUUAUUACAAAUGAAGAUGCUAUGAACUUUCAUUCACAAGUAUUUGUCUAUGUAUGUUUUCAUUUCUCUUGGGUAGACACCUAGGAGUAAAAUUGCUGAAUUAUAUGAUAACUAUAAUUAACAUCUGAGGAACUCCCAAACUGCUUUCUAAAGUGGCUGUACCAUUUUACAAUUGCAUUAAUAAUAAAUGAGAUUUCCAAUUUCUCUACAUCUUCACCAACACCUGUUGUUUUAUUUACUUUUUAUUUUUUAUUUACUUACUACUUUUUUCUUUUAACCAUCCUAGUAGGUAUCAAGUUCUCAAUAGUAAAUUUUUUAAAAAUUAAGAUAUAAUUUUCCUACCAUAAAAUCCACUUUUAAAAAGCAUAUAAUUCAGUAAUUUUUUUUCCUUUUUGAGACAGAGUCUCACUCUGUCACCAGGCUGGACUGCAACGGCAUGAUCUUAGUUCACUGCAACCUCUGCCUCCCGAGUUCAAGCAAUUCUCCUGCCUCAGCCUCCCGGGUAGCUGGGACUACAGGUGUGCACCACCAUGCUCAGCUCAUUGUUUGUAUUUUUAGUAGAGACAGGGUUUCACCAUAUUGGCGAGGCUGGUCUCAAACUCCUGACCUCAAAUAAUCCACCCACCUUGGCCUCCCAAAGUCCUGGGAUUACAGGUGUGAGCCAUCAGGCUUGGCCGAAUUCAGUAGUUUUAAUGUAUUCAUGAGGUUGUGAAGCCACCACCCCAAAAAGAAACAGCAUACCCAUUAAGUAGUCAUUCCCCAUCCCCCUUCCCUCGCCCUUGACCUCCAUUAUCCAUCUCUAUGAAUUUGCCUAUUCUGGAUAUUUCAUAUAAAUGGAGCCAUACAAUAUUGACCUUUUAUGUCUAUCUUUUUUCACUUAGCAAAAUGUUUUUAAAGUUCACCCAUGUUGUACCACAUAUCAGUACUUCAUUCCCUUUUACAGCUGAAUAAUAUUCCAUUACAUGGAUAUACCACUAUUUGUUUACCCAUUCAUCAGCUGAUGAACAUUUGGGUUGUUACCACUUUUCAGCUGUUUUGAAUAGUGCUGCUUUGAGCAUGUAUGUUGAGUUAUGUUAUUAUUUCUCUUGUGUACGUACCUAGGAAUGGAAUUACUGGGUCAUAUGGUAACUGCCUUUUGAGAAACUGCCAAACUGUUUUCAAAAGUGACUGUAUUAUUUUACAUUCCUGCCAGCAAUGUAUCAAGGUUCUAUUUUUUCCACAUCAUCCUAAUGGGUGUGAAGUGGUAUCUCAUUGUAAGGCAAUUCGUAUUUCCCCAAUGACUAGUAUGUUGAGCGUACUUUCAUGUGCUUACUGGCCAUUUGUAUAUGUUUUGUGGAGAAAUUAUGUGAUUGUGAUUUGCAUAUCCACUGAUAUUUCUGACCCUUGUUAACUCCUUUAAGAAUAUGGUAGCCAGCAGGUGCGGUGGCUCACACUUGUAAUCCAGCACUUCGGGAAGCCGAGGCAGGAGGAUCAUGAGGUCAGGAGUUCAAGACCAGCAUGGCCAACAUGGUGAAACCUUGUCUCUAGUAAAAAUACAAAAAUUAGCCAGGUGUGGUGGUGGGCGCCUGUAAUCUCAGCUACUUGGGAGGCUGAGGCAGAAGAAUUGCUUGAACCUGGGAGGUGGUGGUUAUAGUGAGCUGAGAUUGUGCCACUGCACUCCAGCCUGGGUGACAGAGCGAGACUCCAUCUGGGGAAAAAAGAAAAAAAAAAGAAUAUGGUAGCCAAUGAACAUGAGUAGGUGGUGGCUCCCUUUUAUUGAUUAACCAGAAAGGCAGCUCUCACUGAGGGCUCCACGAUGACCCUGCUUCACUCUGUACACUCUUGGCUCUGCCUGAAACAUGUUGUACCAUGAAGACCUUGUUUCCUGUCUAGAGCAUGAAGAUUCAGUAAGUCUUUUCAUGUGGCAGUUUCUAAAUAAACAAGGGCAAAACAGCAUAGCAAAUCUGGGUAAGAGGCUUUUUACCAAAUUAUCAAGUGUUUUUCUUUUUUAAAAGAAAAAAAAAACCAAGAUGAUUUUUCUUCCUCCAGAGAAGCAUGGACUGGCAGCCUACUGAGUAAAUUUUCUAUAUUGUAGUCAGUCUUGUGAGAGCCUGAGUUGAGUCUCAGAAAAGUAGCUUGCUUGAGACUGAGGCUGGCUGUGAAGAACAGGUUUGCAAUUCCUGAAAACUGGAGCUAAAAGUAACAGCUGCUUAAUAGAGUGAGACGAGGGAAAAUUAUGGGUCAGGAGGUAAGCUCUGAAAGAAAUUUGCUUCAUAUGAUGAUGAAAAGAAGCCCUGUGGCACUUCUCUGGAAGUAUCUAGAGAAGCUUUCUGGUUUUGAGUAACUGCAAAGCCAAGGGAUCUUCCACAGAGGAGGUUAAUAUAGGAAUCAAGUCAUUAUCAACAGAGAUUCCUAAUCAGGUAAGACUGGUUGGCUCCAAGAAGCACUGUAAUGCAAAUAUAAAGAAGUAGGGGUGGAGGAAGGUUCCAAUCCUGAGGCAGCAGUUCCCCUAGGGGCAGCUGGUGUCCCGGCAGGACUCCUCAGUGAUGAGUGUCCAGUGAUGGCUUAUCUCACUCAAUCAAACUUUAAAUACAGUCAAGUAUACAUCAAAUAACAGAAACUUAGAACUUUUAUCUAUGUACUUUUUUUUUUUUUUGAGACAGAAUCUUGCUGUGUCGCCCAAGCUGGAGUGCAGUGGCAUGAUCUCGGUUCACUGCAGCCUCCGCCUCCUGGGUUCAAGCGAUUUUCCUGCCUCAGCCUCCUGAGUAGCUGGGAUUAUCAGCAUGUGCCACCAUGCCUGGCUAAUUUUUGUGUUUUAAGUAGGGACAGGGUUUCACCAUGUUGGCUAGGCUGGUCUCAAACUCCUGACCUCAAGUGAUCUGCUCACCUCGGCCUUCCCGAGUGCUGGGGUUACAGGCAUGAGCCACCGCACUCAGCUUUUAUUUACAAUCUUAAACACCAUAGUGCUCAUUAAGAAGAAGAAGAAGAAAAAAGCCAAGUCUCUUCCUAAAAUGCCUUCAGGACACUGAAGGGAAAAAGACGGGAAUGAUUUCAUAACAACAUAGGAGACUUUGUUGAUCCAGUUCAUAAAGACAUAGGAUGCUUUGGCCAGAGAGACAUGAAGAUGAUUUCUUUCAAAAAAUAAGUAGUUCACACAUUUAUUCAACAGAUACUUCCUGAGCUCCUACUAUGUGCCAGGCACUGCUCUACCAGUUAGGGAUGUUCUGGUGAAUAGCCCCACCCCCAUGGAGCUCAGAUUACACUGGGAGAAAAAUAAGAAACCCAAAAAAUAAAUAUAGACAUCAGCAGGGAUAAUGCAAUAAAGAAAUGCAGGGUAAGGAAACAGUGAACCGGGACAGAAAAUUCUUUUUAAAUGAGGUGGUGAUGAAAGGGCUCUCAGAGACUCAAUGAAGUGAGGAAGCCAACCAGGUGAAGGUCUGAGGGAAGGCCUGCUGGGCAGAAAGAAGGGCAAAUGCAAGGCCCUGCAGCUGCUUGGGCUUGGGGUGUUCAGAUCAGUGCUGACGGAGGGAAGGAAGCUGUGGUAAGAGCGAGGCACGGGGAGAUGAAGGGUCUAGACCAGGGGUAUCCAAUCUUUUGGCUUCCCUGGGCCACACUGGAAGAACUGUGUCUUGGGCCACACACAAAAAAACUAAUGAUAGCUGAUGAGCUAAAAAUAAAUAAAUAAAUAAAUACACAAAUCACAAAAAAAUCUCAUAAUGUUUUAAGAAAAUGUAUGAAUUUUUGUUGGGCCACAUUCAAAGCCAUCCUGGGCUGCAUGCAGCCCACAGGCCAUGGGUUGGACAAGCUUGGUCUAGACCAUACAGGGCCUCUGAGCCAUGGAGAGGAGUUUCCAUUUCAUUCUGAAUGUGGUGUGAAGCCACUGUAGGAUUCUGGGCAGGGGAAUAUGAAAUUUGAUUAUAUGUGUUAAAAACACUGUUCUACAUUUACAUAAAUAAGUGGCUGAGUAAUUUAAUACAUGGGGAAGAACAGACAAAUUUCCCAUACAGAAGAAUUCCAAAUAAGGUAUGGACAUACUCUGCCCUCAAGGAGGUGAAGCCUAACUCCCCAUUCCUUAAGAGAAGCCUGUGCAUAGUGACUUCCUUCCGAAGAGUCUGUGUGGAAAGGAAAAGGAAUAACUUUAUGUUGGAGAAACCUGACGAACACUGCCACAGCCAGGUGAUCAAGGUCAGCAUCAACAGUGACAACUCAUGUUGAUAGUAGGUACCUCUUGAUACGCCAUGAUGAAAAUGGCACUUUACCUUUUCCUUUCCCAAACCCAUAACCCCAGUUCUAAUCAAGAGAUAAACAUCGGACAAAUUACAGUUAUUAGACAGUCUAUAUCUGACUAGUACUCCUAAAAAUUGUCAUGGUCAUCAAAAACAAGGAAAGUCAGAGAAACUGUCACAGCUAAGAGGAGCCUAAGAUGACAUGACAACUAAAUGUAAUGUAUCCUGGAUGGAACAGAAGAAGGACAUUAGGUAAAAACUUAGAAAAUAUGAAUAAAGUAUGGACUUUAGUUAAUAAUAAUGUAUCAAUAUUGCUUCACUAAUUGCAAUGAAUGUACCAUACUAAUUCAAGAUGUUAAUAACAGGGGAAACUUGGCUGGGUUGCUCACUCCUGUAAUCCCAGCACUCUGGGAGACAGAGGUGGGAGGUCAUUUGAGGCCAGGAGUUCGAGACCAGCCUGGUCAACACGGCAAAACCCCUACUCUACAAAAAAUACAAAAAAAAUUAACCAGGCUUGGUGGCGCGUGCCUGUAGUCCCAGCUACUAGGGGGCUGAGGUGGGAGGAUUGCUUAAGCCUGGGAGGUUGAGGCUGCAGUGAGCUGAGAUCACACCACUGCACUCCAGUCUGAGUGACAGAGUGAGACCCCGUCUCAAAAUAAUAAUAGGGGAAACUGGGUGUAGAUUAUAGAGAACUCUCUGUACUAUCUUUGAAAUUUUUCUGUAAAUCUAAAACUUUUAAAAUAAGGUUUAAAAAAUAAACAUUGCUUUGGCUACUCGGUGGAGAAUUUAGUGUAGUAGGAGAG
rnacentral:lncRNA from 1 species